ensembl:lncRNA
CCAACCUCGGAUUUUGGAAAUGAUUUUAUGGACUCCGUCACUGAAGGCUGGUGACCCUGAAGACGUUUCGCAUGUCGAAGAAGUAUGUGUUGAGGGCCUGCUGUGUGCCAUGUGUGGCUCCAGGCCCCGGAGAGCCAGCAGCGCAGAAGUCCCCAAGCUCGCCGAGCUACUAUUGGGUUCAGUGUUCUUCUUCACAGUGAGGGGGCUGUCGGGGUCCCGAGGGGCAAGUCACCUGCCUAAGCUCUCAAGGUGACCAACUGGCAGAGCUGAUCUUAGAAGCUGGGCCUCUUCCGUCCUGGACCCCGCCUGCUUCCAGCCGCUGCAUCUCGUGAAGGAGAUUCAUCUGCAGCCGAUUUUAACCUUAGCUGGGAUUUCGGCACUUCAGCUAGAUAAAUAAGGUCCUCACUGGAGAGAUUUCUGGAAAUGAGUGCAAAAAAUGAUGUUUCUUUAACUUCAGAUGUCCCACUGAGAGAUUGUAUGUUUCUUCAGAGGCCUGUCCUGUGUUAUCACAGCCAGUGGGAUAAGACUAUAGAGUGGGAAUGGAGGCGGUAGGAGAAAAUGAGGCGGAAGGUCCGGGGAUCUGUAACCGCGGAAAAUUUGCCAGACACGGAAGUCCAGAGGUCUGGGUCCAGAGCCACUUCCCGUCCCUUCCUACCGUGACUUUCACCUCUCUGAGCCUCAGUUUUCCCUCCUGUAAAAUGAAAGAUUGGGUUAGGAUGGCCUCAAAGUUCUUCUCCAGCUCUAAAUUCUUUAAUAAAUCACCCGACUACGCCAUGCAGGCCCACGGGACCCAAGAAGUGAUUCCGGAAAGUGACCGUGGUCCCAGUGGCUUGGAGCACUGAUCACCAUUCCUCUGUGCUCCCUCGGUCCCACCGUAGCACGUGUCCCUUCCCACCAAGGGAACAGUGGUUUUAGUGUGUGUACCUCCUGAAAUGUGUGUGCUCCUGGAGCGCAAGGAUCGUGUGCCGCUCGCCUCUGCACCUCUCUGCAGUACCUGGCCACACACCCGCCCUGGGUUGGCGUUUCAUCCAUGUUUGUAGAAGUGCCUUUAAUUGAGAAGAGACAGAUUUGGGAAGGGAUUUCAAAAGAGGCUGCUGAAAAUGAGCAGCACUUUGAAAGGUUGCUGUGAGAGACGUGGACUGAGGUCACAGCUGGUAAGUGGCAGGUCUGAAGUGCAAGCCCAGGGCUGCCUGACUCCCAGGCCCAUGUUGUCACUCCCUUCACUGUCCCGACCUGCUUUCACUCAUUCAUGGAAGGUGCUAGUGUCAGUGUCACAAGGUGAGGCGUGCAUGCUCUGGAGGCAGACUGUCUGGGCUCGAAUCCCAGCUCUGCCUCUUGAGAGCUGUGUGACCUUGAGCAGGUGUUUUAACCUUUUUGUUAAAAGGUUUGUGACCUGUGAAGCAGGGAUGAUCGUGGCACCGCCCUCCAGGGACUGUUGAAGGAAAACAGGUGAGUAACUGGAGGCCGGAGGGGCCUGGUGACCACCCAGAUGUCUGACUGGUCGCUGGCGGAGUGGGAUCUCGGUCAUCUCGGGCCUCCCCGCGCAGUUCUGCACAUCGCAGGACGCACAAGAGCAGAAGCACCGAGCUCCCUUACAGCACUCGGCGGGUGAAAUGCUCUGUCCAUUUCAGAACCAGGGACGCAGAGGCGCAGCCUGCGCCACACAGGCCACGAGGCACACUCACGGCAGCCAAGUCCUGUUUGUUCUUCAAAGCCUGGCUCCACUGCCACCUCCUCUGAAAUCUCCCGGUCGUUCGGACAGAGGUGGCUGUUCUGACUUCUGGAUUCCUGCGGCUGUCACUUUUUCUCCUUGUGGCGCCCGUCCACCUCACUGCAGUGUGACCUUCCGUGGAGGCCUUUCUUUCCUGCCAGACCACGACUAUCGUGACGGCAGGGACUGUGUCUUCUUUCUCCCCUCUGCCCCAAUGCCCAGCACUGAAUAGCCACUACAUGUUUAUAGAAGGAAGGAAAAAGUUAAUAACGAAUGAGUGAGAAAACUAUACUUCUGUGGGGCCAAUAAGGGAAAAAGCACCAACCUCAUCAGGCUGGUCCCAGAGUCACGCAUCGAAGCGAGGGCAUCAUUAGUGACCUGCUCAAGGUCACGCAGGUAGAAAGUCAUAGAGCUGGGACUUCUCCCUCUCGCCCUUUCUCUCUCCCACUCGGCGCCUCACCAGCACGCCAGGCUCCAGGCCAGGGCACGGCCCACAGGUGGCUUUCAGUAAAACUCUGUGAGAACAAAGUGAACUUUGAAGCAGCUAAGAGCAUAGGAGUCUGACCAAUGCGGGUUCAGAUGCCCCUGGACCACUGACCAGUGGUGCGGUCUGUGUCAACUUAGCCUCUCUCAGCUCAGUUUGUGUAAAGUGGAAGUAACAGCACCUCCAACACCCCCUCGCAGGCUGUUUCUGUGGGGCAUUUGAAGGCUUUCUGACGAACCUAACGCAGAGGUAGGAUGGCGGUUUCCAACACUGAGUGUCUCACCGGCCAGCCUGAUUUGCUGUUCAGAGCAACAGCUGCUUUUCCUUCCUUCUCUCUUGAAAUGCCAUGGCUGGCCUAGGUGACACAUAGCCUUCUGCAUGUAGAGCAUGCAUUUCACCUUCUCCACCAGACCUGUGGGAUGUGUUUUCCCGCCUACUGAAUAGACAGGCCCAUUAUUCACACAAAUCAGUGCUGGUUUGUGUUGCUGCCCUUCGUACUGCUGCAGCCCGAGCUGAGGCUGGGUCCUGGGGGCUCUCCAGGGCACCGCUGCCGCCUGCCAGCACCACAGACCUUUCUCAGGGCCGGCCCGCUCGUCUGCCAGCAGAGCCUGCAGAGGCACAGGGGGAUGGCUUCCGGCGCUAGCCUGCAAUGAGUCACAGACAUCACGGAGGCCCUGGAUGGAGCUGGCAGAUGCCGGGAGCAGACGCCCCUCACAAGUUCCGGUUGUUUUGCCUCCUAGAGAAGAGCGGGGAGUUAUGGGGCCCAAGAGGCAGCACCUCUGCUUUCUGAAAAGGAAGCUAGCGCCGUGGGCUCCACCACGUGCACAGCGGCUGCCCCUCUCAUUACUCACCGGAAAUGAGUUUGAACACUUCACACAGGAAGAUGACUCGCUCCUCCAAGAUGCAGAAAACCUUUCCAAGGAAAUGAUUUGAAGUGUUCAAAUAUUCUGUUUCUUAGUCUGCUUUUCCUUUGUCGAAUUCCUCAUUUUGAGCGGGAGCCUUUAAUCGCACGUUGAUCUGGUUGGAGCAUCCUGUGAACACCUUGGAGGAGUUUCAGUUCGUACUCACACAGUGAUCAUCCUCCCUCUGCAGCUCCUGCCCCUUCGUUUACGCUUCUGCAGAUUGCUAUACAGAGGAUGGGUUUGUCACCGCAGUGGGAAAUAACACAGUGAACAUGUUGCUUUUACAACUGGAAAUGGACAAACAUAAUAAAAACUAACAGCUCACAAUUGUCACGAGUCAGGCUGGAGCACAAGGCAUUGUGGGUCCCUGGCAUGCCUGAAUGACAGGAGGAUGGAACAGGCAGGAUAGGGAAUCGACUGCCGAGCCCCACUCAAGUCAUCUUAGAAACAGGGCAGCCUAGGAGACCCAACGUAGCAGCCAAG